CUUCAGGCCCUCAGGAGUGACGCCUGCCCUGACCCGGACCCAGCUCUGGGGGCUACGAAGACCAGUGCUGCUGCUCCAUUCGGCAGCCAUGCUCUCUGCAACAAUGGGUGGUUGCUUCUUGCUUUCAGGAAUGACAGCCAUCCUGACCCGGACCCGGCUCUGGGGGCUGCGACGACCAAUGCUCCUGCUCCAUUCAGCAGCCAUGCCCUCUGCAACGACGGGUGGUUGCUUCUGGCCCUCAGGAAUGACGGCUGUCCUGACUCGCACCCUGCCAUGGCGGCUGCGGAGACCAAUGCUGCUGCUCCAUUCGGCAGUCGUGCUCUCAGUGACAAGAGGCAGCCGCACCAGGUUUUCAGGAAAGUCUUCCCUCCCGGCUAUGAUGCAGUGGUGGUGGUUGCAAAGGCCAAGGCCACCGGGGAACAGAACCGCCAUGCAGAGUGCCAUGGUCAGGGAGAGAACCAUGUGGAGCCUCAUCUUGGUUUCUCCCAAGGGAGGAAAAUCACAGUGCACGAGCUGGCUUCUGUCUGUCAGGCAGCGACCAGCAGGACUGAGUGGUCACCCCGUGUGUCUGCACUUGGAAGGGCUGCUGAUGUCAGACAAGGCUCUGUGAUGUCACAAAACCCUUCCCUGCGCGCCCUGCAGGCGGUGACGGCUGAAGCGGAGCUGGGGAGGACCCCCGCAGGUGGAUUUUGAAGCCUGCUGCUCUCACCGCUGUGCCUGCCAGCAGACACUGAGCCCAGCAGUGGAGCGGGACUCUGCCCCAGGUCAUUUGGGCUGUGCUCUCCGCUUCUCUGCGAGAAGGAGCUGUGCUCAGACUCCAUGCAGGCUGCGUUCAGCAGCGGGGCAGCCGUGACACGGUUCAGCUCGAAAUCCUCUUGGGGACCAAGCGGCAGCCCAUGUUAAGAGGAAGGCCCAAAAUCCAUGCACUUUGACCAUAGCCUGAACCGUGCCUGAACAGAGCGUUGGACGAACUGGCGUCCAGAGCAGCUGCCUUCUAAGCUCAGCCAUUCCGUGGAUUUUAAAGUGUUUUCAGCAUUAAGAAAUGCAAAGGCUUUCGUGCUGUCGGCCUCCUUAGUCACCAGCACGACCCUCUUGUGCCCACAUGAGGCUCCUGGAAGGCCCCGGUAGAUGGCACUGGUGGGCUGCUGCGCUCCAGCUUCAGCUGCGAGAUGAGUUGGUGCCGGCUCGCUUCCUUCUCGCGUGUCCCUGUCCCUCCUCACGGGGACUUCCCGCACAGCUGCCCAUGAGUUUAACCUUACGCGAGGCUUGAACUGUUCAACAUGGCGGCAAAAGGGCAGCGAGCACGGCCGGGGGAGGCCGUGCUGUGAGGGAGCGUGCACCAGAGGGAGCGCCCAAACGGUCUGGAACCGGCUUUCACGGCCUCUGCCACCGGCAGGCACGUGGGGGAACGGUCCUUCCCCAGCAGGAAGAGAGGUGCACCAGGCCUUUGUGGGUCCCUCCUCUCCUGACUGUGCUGCAGUUCUGCUCUGGUGAAGAACUUGCCUCUGGCCUCUGUGACCACAGCUAGGAUCAGCACCCCGCCGCAACCGAGCCUCACAGUCUUGCUGCAUCCUUGUGAGCUACCGCUGCCUCUCUUUUCUCAAAGAGAUGGAUUCUGUUACACCUGGGACGGGUACUACCUGUUGUUCAUCUCUGGGGAGGAAUAAUGAAAUGCUCCUCAGAUCUGACCACUGGAGGGGAUUAAAGCUGAGGCCAGCAUCCACAGGGGUCCCCAAUGGUCCUUAGUAGGCUGGCUUUCUCCCCUGGCUGCCAUCCAGCUACCAGAUUAGGAAAUCAUGCACAUCUGCAGCCACAGUCACUUCUGCUCAAGAGAGGGAACUGGAUGCGCCAAAAAGCCUUGCUUUGCAGCAGGCAUUUCACUGCGUCUCUUUCAUGACUGACCCAACUUAAAUUUCAUCCUGUAGAGGC